rnacentral:rRNA from 1 species
CCCUUAGAUGUCCUGGGCUGCACGCGCGCUACACUGGAAGUUACGGAUUGAGAUACUACCUUGUCCGAAAUGGUCCGGGUAAUCACCUAAAAGCUUGCCAUAAUUGGAAUGGAUUAUUGUAACUAGUAAUCCUGAACGAGGAAUUCCUAGUAAGUCCCAGUCAACAGCUGGUACUGAUUACGUCCCUGCCCUUUGUACACACCGCCCGUCGCUACUACUGAUUGGACGUUUAAGCAAGAUUUUUAAACACUGACAGUGUGUAGUUCACGCUAUACUACAGUGAGAAGAAGAAGAUCGAGCUUACUGGUCUAGAGGAAGUAAAAGUCGUAACA